rnacentral:rRNA from 1 species
GCAGGGGACCGCAAGGCCUUGCGCUCUUUGAGCGGCCGAUGUCAGAUUAGCUAGUUGGUGAGGUAAAGGCUUACCAAGGCGACGAUCUGUAGCGGGUCUGAGAGGAUGAUCCGCCACACUGGAACUGAGACACGGUCCAGACUCCUACGGGAGGCAGCAGUGGGGAAUUUUGGACAAUGGGGGCAACCCUGAUCCAGCCAUGCCGCGUGAGUGAAGAAGGCCUUCGGGUUGUAAAGCUCUUUCGGCCGGGAAGAAAUCGCAUGGGCCAAUACCCUGUGUGGAUGACGGUACCGGAAUAAGAAGCACCGGCUAACUACGUGCCAGCAGCCGCGGUAAUACGUAGGGUGCGAGCGUUAAUCGGAAUUACUGGGCGUAAAGCGUGCGCAGGCGGUUUUGUAAGACAGGCGUGAAAUCCCCGGGCUUAACCUGGGAACUGCGUUUGUGACUGUAAGGCUAGAGUACGGCAGAGGGGGGUGGAAUUCCACGUGUAGCAGUGAAAUGCGUAGAGAUGUGGAGGAACACCAAUGGCGAAGGCAGCCCCCUGGGUCGAUACUGACGCUCAUGCACGAAAGCGUGGGUAGCAAACAGGAUUAGAUACCCUGGUAGUCCACGCCCUAAACUAUGUCAACUAGGUGUUGGGUGGGUAAAACCAUUUAGUACCGUAGCUAACGCGUGAAGUUGACCGCCUGGGGAGUACGGCCGCAAGGUUAAAACUCAAAGGAAUUGACGGGGACCCGCACAAGCGGUGGACAUGUGGAUUAAUUCGAUGCAACGCGAAAAACCUUACCUACCCUUGACAUGCCAGGAACUUGCCAGAGAUGGCUUGGUGCCCGAAAGGGAGCCUGGACACAGGUGCUGCAUGGCUGUCGUCAGCUCGUGUCGUGAGAUGUUGGGUUAAGUCCCGCAACGAGCGCAACCCUUGUCGUUAAUUGCCAUCAUUUAGUUGGGCACUUUAACGAGACUGCCGGUGACAAACCGGAGGAAGGUGGGGAUGACGUCAAGUCCUCAUGGCCCUUAUGGGUAGGGCUUCACACGUCAUACAAUGGUCGGUACAAAGGGUUGCCAAGCCGCGAGGCGGAGCCAAUCCCAGAAAGCCGAUCGUAGUCCGGAUUGCAGGCUGCAACUCGCCUGCAUGAAGUCGGAAUCGCUAGUAAUCGUGGGUCAGCAUGUCACGGUGAAUACGUUCCCGGGUCUUGUACACACCGCCCGUCACACCAUGGGAGCGGGUUCCGCCAGAAGUAGGUAGCCUAACCGCAAGGGGGGCGCUUACCACGGCUGGGGUUCGUGA